ensembl:snoRNA
UCUGCUCCCCUAGAGGUGUUGCAGGUGUGGCUGCUGUGUCACACGUGCAUCAGCAGGUGACAGGGAAGAUGGAGGCUGUGUCUGCACUCAGUGUUCUGACUUGUGAUCAUCUGGUUGAUUAGUAGCCUAACAUU